rnacentral:lncRNA from 1 species
AAACUCCAAUGGAGAUGCAGCGGUGCCUAAGCAAGAGCUUACAGUUGCCCAAGCAAACUCCAAUGGAGAUCAACCUGUGCCUAAGCAAGAGCUUGCAGCUACCCAAGCAAACUCCAAUGGAGAUAAAUCUGUGCCUGACCAAGAGCUUGCAGCUAUCCAAGCAAACUCCAGUGGAGAUAAACCUGUGCCUAAGCAAGAGCUUGCAGCUACCCGAGCAAACUCCAAUGGAGAUAAACCUGUGCCUGACCAAGAGCUUGCAGCUAUCCAAGCAAACUCCAGUGGAGAUAAACCAGUGCCUGAACAAGAGCUUCCAGCUACCCAAGCAAACUCCAAUGGAGAUAAACCAGUGCCUGAGCAAGAGCUUCCAGCUACCCAAGCAAACUCCGAUGGAGAUAAACCAGUGCCUGAGCAAGAGCUUCCAGCUACCCAAGCAAACUCCAGUGGAGAUAAACCAGUACCUAAGAUAGAGCUUGCAGCUACCCAAGCAAAUUCUAAUGGAGAUAAACCUGUGCCUGAGUUUACAGCUACCCAAGCAACCUCCAAUGGAAAUAACAGACAAAUAGAAGCAAGCAAGCAAUCCGAAGUUAGUAUGACAGAUGAAGCCUCU